rnacentral:rRNA from 1 species
GACGAACGCUGGCGGCGCGCUUAACACAUGCAAGUCGAACGGAAAGGCCUGCUUUCCCUUGUGGAUUGCGGGUACUCGCGUGGCGAACGGGUGAGUAACACGUGAGUGAUCUGCCCCCAACUUGGGUAUAAGCCUGGGAAACUGGGUCUAAUUCCCGAUAGGACUGCAGGGUGGUGCCUGUGGUGGAAAACGAUUUUCUAGUGGUUGGGGAUGAGCUCGCGGCCUAUCAGCUUGUUGGUGGGGUAAUGGCCUACCAAGGCGGCGACGGGUAGCCGGCCUGAGAGGGUGGACGGCCACAUUGGGACUGAGAUACGGCCCAGACUCCUACGGGAGGCAGCAGUGGGGAAUAUUGCACAAUGGGCGGAAGCCUGAUGCAGCGACGCCGCGUGGGGGAUGACGGCCUUCGGGUUGUAAACUCCUUCCGACCGCGAGGAAGCCACCUGGUUGGAAGGGUGGUGACGGUAGUGGUAGAAGAAGCACCGGCUAACUACGUG